UAAGCCACAUGUCACUUAUUAUCAUGGCUCUUCUCAUUAAAACCCCCUGAAGUUUUACAGGUGCAAAUGCCCUAAUAAUUACCCAUGGACUAACCUCAUCCCUAUUAUUCUGCCUUGCAAAUUCAAACUACAAACAAUCUCAAAGCUGCAUCA